CAAUUGUAAUAAGGAAUUAAUAAAAUAAUAAUUAAAUUAUACACUAUAACGAUAUUCUAAUAACGAGAUGCAAGGACAACGAACGCGAAGGGUAUACGUAUCCAAAUUUGAUUCAGCAUUUUCUGCCAGAACUACUGAGAACUUCAUGUGAAAUGAAGAAAGGUAAAAAGCUGAAGAAGAAGGCAGCGCGUUCUGGUAGACGGACAAAAACAAAUAGUCGGAUAAAAGCGUUACAAAGAAGGAGAAAGAAAUGUGAAGAGGGCGUGACGAGAAGGGGUGGAACACGUUGGCCCCAUCUGAAUCAUCACUGCACGCGAAUGGCUUCAUUCAUACGCAAAUUUAAAGUACGUUCACGUGAGGCGGUAUUACGAUCUAUACCCUUCGUUAGAUCGAUCAUUCUUUACAACCGACGACUCCUUCUCCCGUUCGAGUCUACUUCUGUCGACAGUGAUAUGACUAACAUAAAAGUUAGAAAGUAAGAAAUUGGAAGAGUAGGAAAACAAGGAAAUACGAAACUUGGAAACUCGAAAAGUUAACGUAAAACUAGAAACCCAAGGAAGUUAAUAUAGUGCGAGAGACCUAGGAAGCUAGGAAAAUUAAUAUAAACUGAGGAACUAGAAACCCCGAGGAAACUACCUCAAACAUUUCUUUUUCCAAACUACCACUAUAAUUCGUUCUAAAAAAUAUAUGCGGCAUGAGGUGUGGUGGAAAAUCAUGUUCGACCAGGUAUGCGAUCGAAAUGAUGGACGACAGCGGCGCGGCUUGUUUAAUGGCACCUACGAAAAGGAAAGUGCUCACCCACGCAUCCUAUCUGACGGACAUUACGACGGCAGGUUACAAGUAUCGGUAUCGUGUUUCUUGCUAAUUAAACGUGAACGCGAACGGAUGUAAAACAUAAAACGUGGCAGAUAAGACCACAUAAUCUUUCGAAAUCGUGGUUUCAAACGGUACAAAGCUAGUACAUCUAUUCUAUUCGACUGUUGAAUUUUUUAUAGAUAUCAUUGAUGUCACCUCUUUCUUGUUACAGAAAGCAUCCUGAGUGCGAGAUUAUUAAUUGCUACAGAGGAUGGUAAACGGAAGUUAAAUUUUCAUUGAAGGAAUCGAAAAAUUGAAGAAUCAGGUGAGUCAAAAAAAAAAAUUGGAAAACAUAUUACGAAGAUAUUAUAAACAAAAUUAAUUUGGAAUUUAAAAAACAAGGUAAAUGAUAAAUUUCAUGAAAAAUUCAGAAAUUAGGAAAUUAAGAAAUUAAAAAAAUUAAUUAGAUAUUUAAAAGAAUAAUUCCUAUCCUAUUUUAUCACAAUUAUUUGACCCAGUCUCAAGCUUAAUCAAAACUUUAAUUUUCUCGCAGAACAAACGUGUUAAUGACUACUAUCCACAAUGGGCUCUCAGCUCAGCAAUGCAAUUUAAUCGCCGACAUUUUCAUCGAUGAUAGCCAUCAAUCGUAAUUAACUUUGUAACUCUCUAUCUCCCUAACGCAUUAUCGAAAGAAUCGAUUGUGUUUUUAGCAGCUAUGUUCUGUAUGAAAUAAUUUGUAAUUAGUCACACUGACAAGUCAUGACGGUGACUAAUCGAAACCUCCUCUUUUCAUCUGUGGUUUUUUGAUGCUGCUUCAGGAGUAUAUCAGUGUUGCCCUUAAAGGCUGCAGUUCUAUUUGCUCGGCAACUUACGACGAACAGUUACCAGAGGAGCAUAAUAUGUACCAGAUGUUUACCGUUUGGCUUAGCUACUGUGCAAAUACCAAGCUCCUUCAUCCAACUUCCAGAUAACAUAUCGCUUGCUUAUCCAAAGAAAUUUGUACCAUUAGCUAUCUUCUGAGAGAAACUAGAAUUUUCAAAGAAAUAUAUACAAUUAAAAUGAAGUAGGUAAUAGAUCAAAGAUUUUGUGAUUUUCAUUAAUUUUCUAAGAAGUGCAGGUUCAUUUGGAAAGAUAUUAUUUUGGAAAUCUUAAGGUUGUUUUCCCAUAAAAGAUCAACCUCCAUUAAUUGGAAUACGAAUAUGAUUAUCUUCAUAAGAUUCUUGUCCCUGAAGGGAUGAAAUUGCGAGAAGGUAAAUGGAGAAACAGAUACCAGGCGAAUCGUCAAUGCCAAUACGCGGACGGAUUCGAGGAAUGUGAAGGGAAAUCAAUAUAGCUCAAACUUCUCUGACUCAGUGACACAGAAUAUCAGUUCUAUCGGUUUACGUGGAAAAUGGCUAACGAGCGCAAGCUAGUGUAAGGAAAUAAAAUAAAAUAUGAAAAUUUAUACUAAAAUAUCAUUCGAUCUAUAGAAUCUAUAUUUUUAGAGUUCGUUCCUUAUAACAAUCAAUCUCUCAGAUUACACUAAAAGAAAGCUUCAAGUUUCAGCAAGAAUAUUUAAGCUCCAUGCAAGUGCAUUACCAAAUUCACAAGUUCCAAUGUUCUAAUUUUAAAAUACAUUGUAUGUAUUGUAUUAAAUGUUAUAUAUAAUUUGUAUCAUAUAGGGUUGAGUUUCAAAGUUCUUCAUCGAUGAAGAAAGCUGUAGUUUAUCUAAAAGAAAAGGAUGAGAGAUGCAGGGUUGCAUGUACCAAUUGCAACUUUUAAAAGUUCUUCGAGAAGGAUGAUCUUCGAAUUCGCACAAUCGCGCGCGAUGAAUUCAGCUCGCACAUUAAGCGUAUAACUGGGAGUCGUCGGUAAUAACGUGGUGGGUGGAUAUGAGGCUAACGUUCCAACUAUGUACGGCGCUGUGUGUCUUGCAAGUGCACUCUAAACAGAUGGUUCUCAACCUGUAUCUUUGUGGAAUGCGUCAAUUCCAUACUAAUUACGGUCAA